rnacentral:rRNA from 1 species
GACGAACGCUGGCGGCGCGCCUAACACAUGCAAGUCGAACGAGCGAGAGAGAGCUUGCUUUCUCGAGCGAGUGGCGAACGGGUGAGUAACGCGUGAGGAACCUGCCUCAAAGAGGGGGACAACAGUUGGAAACGACUGCUAAUACCGCAUAAGCCCACAGGUCGGCAUCGACCAGAGGGAAAAGGAGCAAUCCGCUUUGGGAUGGACUCGCGUCCGAUUAGCUGGAUGGUGAGGUAACGGCCCACCAUGGCAACGAUCGGUAGCCGGACUGAGAGGUUGAUCGGCCACAUUGGGACUGAGACACGGCCCAG